rnacentral:rRNA from 1 species
CAGGUCUUGACAUCCUCUGACAAUCCUAGAGAUAGGACGUCCCCUUCGGGGGCAGAGUGACAGGUGGUGCAUGGUUGUCGUCAGCUCGUGUCGUGAGAUGUUGGGUUAAGUCCCGCAACGAGCGCAACCCUUGAUCUUAGUUGCCAGCAUUCAGUUGGGCACUCUAAGGUGACUGCCGGUGACAAACCGGAGGAAGGUGGGGAUGACGUCAAAUCAUCAUGCCCCUUAUGACCUGGGCUACACACGUGCUACAAUGGACAGAACAAAGGGCAGCGAAACCGCGAGGUUAAGCCAAUCCCACAAAUCUGUUCUCAGUUCGGAUCGCAGUCUGCAACUCGACUGCGUGAAGCUGGAAUCGCUAGUAAUCGCGGAUCAGCAUGCCGCGGUGAAUACGUUCCCGGGCCUUGUACACACCGCCCGUCACACCACGAGAGUUUGUAACACCCGAAGUCGGUGAGGUAACCUUUUAGGAGCCAGCCGCCGAAGGUGGGACAGAUGAUUGGGGUGAAGUCGUAACAAGGUAACCGUAAAGCCGAAU